rnacentral:rRNA from 1 species
GACGAACGCUGGCGGCGUGCUUAACACAUGCAAGUCGAACGGAAAGGCCCUGCUUUUGUGGGGUGCUCGAGUGGCGAACGGGUGAGUAACACGUGAGUAACCUGCCCUUGACUUUGGGAUAACUUCAGGAAACUGGGGCUAAUACCGGAUAGGAGCUCCUGCUGCAUGGUGGGGGUUGGAAAGUUUCGGCGGUUGGGGAUGGACUCGCGGCUUAUCAGCUUGUUGGUGGGGUAGUGGCUUACCAAGGCUUUGACGGGUAGCCGGCCUGAGAGGGUGACCGGCCACAUUGGGACUGAGAUACGGCCCAGACUCCUACGGGAGGCAGCAGUGGGGAAUAUUGCACAGUGGGCGGAAGCCUGAUGCAGCAACGCCGCGUGCGGGAUGACGGCCUUCGGGUUGUAAACCGCUUUCGCCUGUGACGAAGCGUGAGUGACGGUAAUGGGUAAAGAAGCACCGGCUAACUACGUGCCAGCAGCCGCGGUGAUACGUAGGGUGCGAGCGUUGUCCGGAUUUAUUGGGCGUAAAGGGCUCGUAGGUGGUUGAUCGCGUCGGAAGUGUAAUCUUGGGGCUUAACCCUGAGCGUGCUUUCGAUACGGGUUGACUUGAGGAAGGUAGGGGAGAAUGGAAUUCCUGGUGGAGCGGUGGAAUGCGCAGAUAUCAGGAGGAACACCAGUGGCGAAGGCGGUUCUCUGGGCCUUUCCUGACGCUGAGGAGCGAAAGCGUGGGGAGCGAACAGGCUUAGAUACCAUGGUAGUCCACGCUGUAAACGGUGGGUACUAGGUGUGGGGUCCAUUCCACGGGUUCCGUGCCGUAGCUAACGCUUUAAGUACCCCGCCUGGGGAGUACGGCCGCAAGGCUAAAACUCAAAGGAAUUGACGGGGCCCCGCACAAGCGGCGGAGCAUGCGGAUUAAUUCGAUGCAACGCGUAGAACCUUACCUGGGUUUGACAUGGAUCGGGAGUGCUCAGAGAUGGGUGUGCCUCUUUUGGGGUCGGUUCACAGGUGGUGCAUGGCUGUCGUCAGCCCGUGUCGUGAGAUGUUGGGUUAAGUCCCGCAACGAGCGCAACCCUUGUUCACUGUUGCCAGCACGUUAUGGUGGGGACUCAGUGGAGACCGCCGGGGUCAACUCGGAGGAAGGUGGGGAUGACGUCAAGUCAUCAUGCCCCUUAUGUCCAGGGCUUCACGCAUGCUACAAUGGCUGGUACAGAGAGUGGCGAGCCUGUGAGGGUGAGCGAAUCUCGGAAAGCCGGUCUCAGUUCGGAUUGGGGUCUGCAACUCGACCUCAUGAAGUCGGAGUCGCUAGUAAUCGCAGAUCAGCAACGCUGCGGUGAAGACGUUCCCGGGGCU